rnacentral:sRNA from 1 species
GUGAAGGCACCCAUCUGGCAGGGGGCAGGGCCCUCUUGCAGGUUCCGCCAUGCAGAGAAGAAGCCACAGGGACCAAGGGAGGCCGGAAGGAGAUGUCUAACCUGAGCCGUAGAACGUAAGAAGUUGCCAGCAUAAAGGCAGGUAGCUGCAAUCAACCCAAAUCACCCUCUUGCUCAGAUGCCUUUGCCUCCAUCGAUGAAAAACUGCAUCCAGCUGGCAGCCUGCGAGGCCACCGAGCUGCUGCCCAUGAUCCCCGACCUCCCGGCUGACCUGUUCACCUCCUGCCUCACCACCCCCAUCAAGAUCGCCUUGCGCUGGUUUUGCAUGCAGAAAUGUGUCAGUCUGGUGCCUGGCGUCACACUGGAUUUGAUAGAAAAGAUCCCUGGCCGCCUGAACGACAGGAGGACGCCCCUGGGUGAACUCAACUGGAUCUUCACAGCUAUCACGGACACCAUCGCGUGGAACGUGCUCCCCCGGGAUCUCUUCCAAAAGCUCUUCAGACAGGACUUGCUGGUGGCUAGUCUGUUUCGAAAUUUUUUAUUGGCGGAAAGGAUUAUGAGGUCGUAUAACUGCACUCCCGUCAGCAGCCCGCGUCUGCCGCCCACGUACAUGCACGCCAUGUGGCAAGCCUGGGACCUGGCUGUUGACAUCUGUCUGUCUCAGCUGCCGACGAUCAUCGAGGAAGGCACUGCAUUUCGGCACAGUCCGUUCUUCGCCGAGCAGCUGACCGCAUUCCAGGUGUGGCUCACCAUGGGCGUGGAGAACCGAAACCCACCCGAACAGCUGCCCAUCGUCCUGCAGGUGCUGUUAAGCCAAGUGCACCGGCUGAGAGCAUUGGACUUGCUUGGAAGAUUUUUGGACCUGGGUCCCUGGGCAGUGAGCCUGGCCUUGUCUGUCGGCAUCUUCCCCUACGUGCUGAAGCUGCUCCAGAGCUCGGCCCGAGAGCUGCGGCCACUUCUCGUUUUCAUCUGGGCCAAGAUCCUCGCAGUGGACAGCUCAUGCCAGGCGGACCUCGUGAAGGACAACGGCCACAAGUACUUCCUGUCGGUCCUGGCGGACCCCUACAUGCCAGCUGAACACAGGACCAUGACGGCUUUCAUUCUCGCCGUGAUCGUCAACAGCUAUAACACGGGGCAGGAAGCCUGCCUUCAGGGAAACCUCAUUGCCAUCUGUCUGGAGCAGCUCAACGACCCGCACCCCUUGCUGCGCCAGUGGGUGGCCAUCUGCCUUGGCAGGAUCUGGCAGAACUUCGACUCGGCGAGGUGGUGCGGCGUGAGGGACAGCGCUCAUGAGAAGCUCUACAGCCUCCUCUCCGACCCCAUUCCCGAGGUCCGCUGCGCAGCGGUCUUCGCCCUUGGCACCUUCGUGGGCAACUCUGCAGAGAGGACGGACCACUCCACCACCAUCGACCACAACGUGGCCAUGAUGCUGGCCCAGCUGGUCAGCGACGGGAGCCCCAUGGUCCGGAAGGAGCUGGUGGUGGCUCUGAGUCAUCUCGUGGUUCAGUAUGAAAGCAAUUUCUGCACCGUGGCCCUGCAGUUCAUAGAAGAGGAAAAGAACUACGCCUUGCCUUCUCCAGCGACCACAGAGGGAGGGAGUUUGACCCCAGUGCGAGACAGCCCGUGCACCCCCAGACUUCGUUCCGUGAGCUCCUACGGAAACAUCCGUGCUGUCGCCACAGCCAGGAGCCUCAACAAAUCUUUGCAGAACCUGAGUUUGACAGAGGAAUCUGGUGGCGCAGUGGCGUUCUCCCCCGGAAACCUCAGCACCAGCAGCAGCGCCAGCAGCACCCUGGGCAGCCCCGAGAAUGAGGAGCACAUCCUGUCCUUUGAGACCAUCGACAAGAUGCGCCGCGCCAGCUCCUACUCCUCCCUUAACUCCCUCAUCGGAGUUUCCUUUAACAGUGUUUACACUCAGAUUUGGAGAGUCCUGCUGCACCUGGCUGCUGACCCCUAUCCAGAGGUCUCGGACGUGGCCAUGAAAGUACUCAACAGCAUCGCCUACAAGGCCACCGUGAACGCCCGGCCGCAGCGCGUCCUGGACACCUCCUCCCUCACACAGUCAGCCCCCGCCAGCCCCACCAACAAGGGUGUGCACAUCCACCAGGCGGGGGGCUCCCCUCCGGCGUCCAGCACCAGCAGCUCCAGCCUGACCAACGACGUGGCCAAGCAGCCGGUCAGCCGAGACUUGCCUCCCGGCCGGCCGGGCACCACAGGCCCCACGGGGGCACAGUACACCCCCCACUCCCACCAGUUCCCCCGGACACGGAAGAUGUUCGACAAGGGCCCAGAGCAGACUGCAGACGACGCAGACGAUGCUGCUGGACACAAAAGUUUCAUCUCCGCCACGGUGCAGACGGGGUUCUGCGACUGGAGCGCCCGCUAUUUUGCCCAGCCUGUCAUGAAGAUCCCAGAAGAGCACGACCUGGAGAGUCAGAUCCGCAAGGAGCGGGAGUGGCGGUUCCUGCGAAACAGCCGCGUCAGGAGACAGGCCCAGCAAGUCAUCCAGAAGGGCAUUACGAGAUUGGACGACCAAAUAUUUCUGAACAGGAACCCCGGCGUCCCCUCUGUGGUGAAAUUCCACCCCUUCACGCCGUGCAUCGCCGUAGCCGACAAGGACAGCAUCUGCUUUUGGGACUGGGAGAAAGGGGAGAAGCUGGAUUAUUUCCACAACGGGAACCCUCGGUACACGAGGGUCACUGCCAUGGAGUAUCUGAACGGCCAGGACUGCUCGCUUCUGCUGACGGCCACAGACGAUGGUGCCAUCAGAGUCUGGAAGAAUUUUGCUGAUUUGGAAAAGAACCCAGAGAUGGUGACCGCGUGGCAGGGGCUCUCAGACAUGCUGCCAACGACGCGAGGAGCUGGGAUGGUGGUGGACUGGGAGCAGGAGACUGGCCUCCUCAUGAGCUCGGGAGACGUGCGGAUUGUCCGGAUCUGGGACACAGACCGUGAGAUGAAGGUGCAGGACAUCCCCACGGGCGCAGACAGCUGCGUGACGAGUCUGUCCUGUGAUUCGCACCGCUCACUCAUCGUGGCUGGCCUCGGUGACGGCUCCAUCCGCGUCUACGACAGAAGGAUGGCACUCAGCGAAUGCCGCGUCAUGACGUACCGGGAGCACACAGCCUGGGUGGUAAAGGCCUCCCUGCAGAAGCGUCCCGACGGCCACAUCGUGAGCGUGAGCGUCAAUGGAGAUGUGCGCAUCUUUGAUCCCCGGAUGCCCGAGUCAGUGAAUGUGCUUCAGAUCGUGAAGGGGCUGACGGCGCUGGACAUCCACCCCCAGGCGGACCUGAUCGCAUGUGGCUCCGUCAAUCAGUUCACCGCCAUCUACAACGGGAGCGGAGAGCUCAUCAACAACAUCAAGUACUACGACGGCUUCAUGGGCCAGCGGGUCGGCGCCAUCAGCUGCCUGGCCUUCCACCCGCACUGGCCUCACCUGGCCGUGGGAAGCAACGACUACUACAUCUCCGUGUACUCGGUGGAGAAGCGUGUCAGAUAGCGGCGUGACCCGGGCCCACCAGGCCACAGCCGCCUGCUGUACAUAGUGAAGUUGCCACUCGCCGGGGCACGGGGCGUCGGCUGCUGCAGCCCGGCAGUGUGAACAUUGGCUGCUGCCUUAGCUGCUGAUGACGGCAGGAGGGCCCUGCUACUCGCUUUUGUCUGUCUUCGCUGUCGUGUCUGGAAUGUCAGGGAAGGGGAGGGCUCGGGUUGACGGUGGCUUCCCACUGAGCACCAGCAUCCAGGUGCACCCCCGCGGCCGCGGCGCCUCUGUCCCUCUUCUGUUCUGUGUUUCUCUGAGACACUGAAAGGGGAAACACCUCAUUUUAUUUCCAUGUAAUCAGAGCAUUAGCUGCAGAAAAACCCCCAGACAGAGCCCUGGCGGAGAGGCAGGCGCUGGGGCUCCUACGGGUCCCUGGGGCAGCUGUCCCCAUCAGGCCAAGAGCGAGCGAGAGGCGCUGCCCCACCCAGGCCUACCAUCUCUCACAGUCAGUGCACGCAAGCAGGGACAUUUCCUAGCCAGCUGGGGGACACUGGAAAUUCGGGAAACCAAGAGAGAGGAAGAAGGAGACGCCCCUCCUGCUGGCAGCCCAGGGGGUCUGGGCUGUCCUUGGCCGCUGGCAGCAUCACUGAGCAGGAGGAGCACAGCCCCUCCUCCACAGCCCACCCUCCCCGCACCUCCAGGUCUCUAGACUCCAGUUUUGGCCCCUGUCACGCAGAGCCGUCAGCAGGGGCCGCUGUGGCCGUGCACAGGGGAGGCAGGUCCUUGGUGGUGUAGCCCCUGCCUUAAUCCACGGGGCUCCUUUCCCUCCGAAGGGCUGCUCUUCCCCGCAGGCGCAGGGACAGCAGCCCAGCCUGUGGUCUCCAUGCCUGUGCCCGCACACAGGGGUAGCACACGCAUGUACAGGCACCACUGCUGGCACCUGGGGGCACACACAUGCAGGCGGCGUGGUCUCCCUGCUCUGUCCGCACACGUUCAUCACACACAGGUGAGAGGCACUGCCGGGUCCCGGAUGGCUCCGGGUGACACCAGCCCCGUCUCCAGCCCUGAGCCGCCCAUGCUGAUGCGACCUUGGCUUGCGGCUGGGCCUGUGGUGCAGACAGGAGCUGUGUGGACAGUCCCGCCCAGGAGGGGCCACAGGGCGUGUAUGAGCAGUUUUGCAAACAGAACACAACCACAAUGAUGGUAUUUUGAAAAGCAUUUUUUCCAUGUUUGUCGGGAAUCAGGAUUAUAGAGAGGUGGAGGAGCCAGGUGGCUUCAUUCUGGCGGUAAGAGGCCCGUGACCAUGGGAGUGAGAGCUGCGCGGUGAGGCCCGGCUGCCCUGCGCUGUGGCUGGCGGCCUACCGUGGCCAAGAGCAUCUUCUGGGUAGAUGGAACCCUGCCUGGUCACGUUUGGCCAGAGAAACACCUGGUCCUCAGGGGGCUGAGCUGGAGUCUGAGCUGGGGCUGGCCGGGACGUGACAAGGCAGGACAGAGGCGGCCCCUCUGCUGCUCCUUUUUGGAAUGCGAACUCCCACCAGAAGAAGGUUCCGGCACGAAUCCCAUCCCCAAGUCUGGGCCGAGAGAGCAGCCCAGGUCCAGAAGGUGUAGAGAGUCCCGGCCUCACUGAGCUCACAGGGCGUGCCAGGCGGCAACACCAGAAUCUUCCAGAAGCCCAGCUCCACCCGCACACACAGCUUCUCAUCCAGUCCUUCAACUCGAUUCUUACCUAACAUGCAUUUCUGUUUGUUUUGAGACAAAAUCACCACCUGUCGAAAGGCAGGUGGCUCCAGAGGGGUCAAGACCCCCCCCCACCCCCGCUCCAUCCUGGAGCCCACCCCCAUGGGCACCGCGUGCCACCUGCACGUCGGCUGUCUUCACAGGUCUGAUGCGAAAAUUCAAUCACGACGUUAACCGGCUCGAGAGAGCGCCGGCCUAGAGGCUCAUUAUCUAUUUAUUUUACCAAAAGUGAAUUGAGAAAGACUUUGACAAAACACGAAGUGGCAAUGUGAAGCUAAGACAGAGUGACAAACAGUAAACAACACGCGCAGACUC